CUCCAGAUGUCCCUGCAGAUAUGCCAAUCAUCAAUUCAAUUCAAAUUAUUCAAAGCACGAGACUUGGAAAUUAGCCAAUUUGCUAAAACCUCAACUCUAGGACAAAAAAGGGUAGGAACCCUGAAUAAGCUAUCUAGUUCAUUUCAGAUAACAAGCAAUGAGCAUCUGAUCGUCAAAGAGACAGAGAAAUGAUAACCUCAACAACCAAGUCGUUUAUUGCCAUCUCAAGUAAGUCUAUGGCAUUCCGGGCGUCUAAUUCAACUCCUUUACAAAUGCAAGUAAGGAGCAUUCGGCCAUGUGAAAACAACUCUUCCGAAUGAAUCCUUAGAAAUGUGGUAAAAUCUUUCGUAAAUUGAUCCAAAUAUGCCUUCUGGACGGGCAGACGACUUGCUUUGGAAGAGUAAAUGCUCCCUUUGUUCGUACUGAUCCCCAAUUCAGUCACCAAACCGCUAGGAACCUGCACGUCCAGAGCUGGUAACUUAUAUAGUUGGAUCAUUUUGUUAGUGUUGCAUGUGGGAAUAUAAAUCAUGAGCCACGACUUGAAUAAAAUAUGUUAUUAGUUUCUUCAGAAAUCUC